AAUGAACGCUGGCGGCGCGCCUAAUACAUGCAAGUCGAGCGAGAAGACGUAGCAAUACGUUUGUAAAGCGGCGAACGGGUGAGGAAUACAUGGGUAACCUACCCUCGAGUGGGGAAUAACUAGCCGAAAGGUUAGCUAAUACCGCGUACGCUCCUUGGACUUCGGUUCAGGGAGGAAAGCGAUACCGUGGGUAUCGCGCUCUUGGUUGGGCUCAUGUCCUAUCAGCUUGUUGGUGAGGUAACGGCUCACCAAGGCUUCGACGGGUAGCUGGUCUGAGAGGACGAUCAGCCACACUGGCACUGCGACACGGGCCAGACUCCUACGGGAGGCAGCAGUAAGGAAUAUUGCGCAAUGGGCGAAAGCCUGACGCAGCGACGCCGCGUGGGGGAGUGAA
rnacentral:rRNA from 1 species